rnacentral:tRNA from 1 species
GCUAGUAUAGCUCAAUUGGUAGAGCAGCUGAUUUGUAAUCAGCAGGCUAUGGGUUCAAGUCCCGUUACUAGCU